rnacentral:antisense_RNA from 1 species
CUUGUGGCUCCGCUGUGAAAGGCACGACAUUGCUCACAUUGCUUCCAGUGUUUUUUAAGCCAGCUCGGGUGCUGGCUUUUUUUU